rnacentral:tRNA from 1 species
GCGCGAGUGGUGGAAUUGGUAGACACGCUAGUCUUAGGAACUAGUGCCCCCGGGCGUGAAGGUUCAAGUCCUUUCUCGCGCACCA